UCGAGCAGGGGACCUGCUGGAGGACUCCCCUAAAUGUCCCAAGGAAGCAGAAAACCCUGAAGGGGAGAAGAAGGAGGCAGCCACCUUGGAAGGUGAGAAGACACUUCUUGUGGAGGUGGAAAAGAAUAGCACCCUCUCUGAGCCCGGCUCUGGCCGGGGGCCUCCCCAAGAGGAAGAAGAGGAGGAGGAAGAGGAAGAGGCUGCCAAUGAAGAUGCUGAGACCCCAGGCAUCAGAGAUCAUGAGAGUCUGUAG
rnacentral:lncRNA from 10 species